CCAGGAUCAUGACCUGAGCCGAAGGCAGUCGCUUAACCAACUGAGCGACCCAGGCGCCCGGUAAAUGCUUUUCAUUUGAAGGGGUAGUAGCUUCUCUGCAGCCUCCGGCAGGUUCAGCCUUCGCUCCCGGAUUCUAACGCAGUCGUUUGCAGAGGUCACGGUCCUCCUGCUGCUUCCUGGCAUGUCCCUGGCACAGCGGCGUGUCUGACACGGCCAGGAGUCUGGGUCCAGCCGAGGGCAGGACGUGGUCAGAAAUGACCAGUGGUUCUGACUUGCUGUCAUUUGUCAGACACAGUUCAGGGGACUUUGACACUAGGCUGCUGGGGGCAGGGCAGAGGCAGAAGGCUCUGGAAGCUGGGCUCACGGACCCAGAACAAGCAGGCUCAACUAGGGCCUCCUCGGUGCAUCCCCUGGGCUUUGGAAAGGCGGUCUGUCCUGGGGGCCUGGGGACUGGGGAUGCUCUGUGGCCUCCAGAGACGGUACCUGAUGCAUCUGAUCGGGCAGCAGGGGUGAGCAAGGCUCAGCCACACGGGAAAGGCCCACCUGCUUCUGGGAGGGUGCAUGGUGGGGGCAGGGCAGAGCCCAGCUGACCUCCUUGUGCUGCGCCUUCAGUGCCGGGGGCUCUUCUGCAGACCCUGGGCCAGGGAGACAGCAGCAGCUCAGGCCCAGCCGGUGUCCUGGGAGUCACACGGAGGGCCGGGUCCUCUGGCCACUUCUUCCGAGUCGACCGCUGUGCAGCUGCUGAAUUGAGAAGCUCUGGGGGCUGGUGGGCCUGAGCUGGGUCCCCAGGGUCCACUGUCAGGGGUGGGGGUGAAGGGAGGGAGGCCCCUACUUGUAGAAAAGGGAAAGCUUUGGGAGGUGGGGGGCCCCACGUUGUUCGAUGCCUCUGAUCCUUUAGCAGCUGGGCCUAGAGCGUACCAGGGCCCCAGAGACUGCUAGCACUGUGGUCUGGGAGAGAAAGCGGGUCUCCCCAGUGGGGCCAGGCUGCGGUGUGGCCCUAUGCUGACGCGACGUCUGGCUCACCAGGUUCUGCUCUGGAGCUUCAUCUCUGUGACGUCGGCCUCACAACCCUAGACAGAGAGCUGGAAGAGCAUGACAGCGGCGACCUGGGCCCGGCAGGUCCGAGGUCGCUGGGGGGCUCGGCACCCGUCAGCAUCCCGGGCUGCCUGCCCCGCUCCCCAUCCCUGCACUCGUCCUCAUCGCUGUCCACCUCCCCGCUGAGCUCCCUCUCCCAGUCCCUGUCAGGGCCACUCGUCUCCUCAGCCAUGACGCCCCCCCAGCAGCCGCCGGCCCUCAGAUCAGAGCCCGGAGCACUGGGCUCCUCGGCUGCUUCCUACAGCUCCUUAGGCUUGAACGGCGUCCCCGGGAGCAUCUGGGACUUUGUUUCCGGCAGCUUCUCUCCCAGCCCGUCCCCCAUCCUGAACACCGGCCCCGCCCCGUCCUCAAGUGCGAGUCCGAACGGUGCAGAGCUGGCCCGCGUCAGGCGGCAGCUGGACGAGGCCAAGAGGAAGAUCAGGCAGUGGGAGGAGUCCUGGCAGCAGGUGCAGCAGGCCUGUGACGCGUGGCGGCGGGAGGCAAAGGAGGCGAAGGAGCGGGCUCUGGCCGCAGACAGUGCACGGGACCUGGCGCUGCAGAAGAAGGAGGAGGUGGAGGCCCAGUUCCGGCGGCUCCGGGAAGAGCUGGAGGGCCGGGGGCUGCAGCGCUGUGCCGACCUGGGUGCCGUUCCUCUCCCCAAGCUGCAUUCCCUGCAGAGUCAGCUGCGCCUGGACUUGGAAGCCGUGGAUGGGGUGAUCUUCCAGCUGCGGGCGAAGCAGUGUGCCGUGUGCCGGGAGCGGGCCCGCGACGCCGUCCUCCAGCCCUGCCAGCACCGCGUGCUCUGUGAGCCGUGCGCCGCGGGCGCGCCCCCCUGCCCCUACUGUGAGGGUCAGCCCCUCCCGUGGUGACCGCUCUGGCGCUCCCACCCCGGGCUCCGGCCUGCUCCUCUCCAACCUCACGGGCGCACCCCCAGAGCCCACCAGGCCGGCCCCAUGGGCUCGGGAAUGACGCACUGUGACCCCGCCAAGCACUUUGUAAACCGGGGCGUUAGACAUUCUGAGUUGCUAUAAGCUGCUUCCUAGGACCAUGCAGUGGCGUCGAGCCCGAUCAUGCUCCGUGACCCGCGGCCGCUUUUCUAAGUGCCUGAGCCUCGCACGAGGGGCGGAGGACGCCCUUCCCUCGGGUUUGUGUGUUCCUCUGAGGGGAAGCGCGGCCCAGGGCCCCAAUGGUGGAGGCUCUCAUAUUAACUUCACAAAGCCGUGCCUGAGCCUCUGUAGCCUCGUGAGCCUGCUAGGAGGGUGUCCUGGCUCCCACUCGGGUGGCUUGAGACCAGAGGCUUGCCCACGGCCGCUUCCUGCAGCCGGAUGGACGCCAGCUUGCAGGGGUGAGGCUCCCAGGCUGCAGGGUAGCCUGGCGAUUACCACAGCCACUCCAGUGACCCCGGGCUUGCAGAGAGAACCCAGCCGCCCAGCCAUGGCAGAAAUGCUCCUGAGAACGGGUGUGGUUUUGGUGAGGACUUGAAUCUUCUCUGGUCUGCAUUGAGUCAUUUUUCCCUAGAAAUCUGGGGAGAAGCAAAGGAUGUCUGUAGUUGACCCAGACUUUGUUCUCCGUGCGGCAGCCGGAGCUGGGGGCGGGAGCAGGGGCUGGCCCUCUGGCCUGGAAGUCUCGGCCCACCCGUGGCUUUGCCAAAGACAUUUAAUAGCAUUUUGUAAACUGCAAAGUGGCUCGGUAAAAAUUUUUAUCAGUAACCAAAUAUUUAGUAAGAGGUUGAAAACCUUUUUUAACGUAAGAUACACCGAUAGCUCUGUUUGAAGGUGGAUCCAUGACGUUCUGCAGCUAGUGCAUUACUAAAGGUGACUAUUGACUUGGUUUUAGUGCAUCUACUUUGUUUUUAAUCAGUGAUGAUUUAUUAGCUCUUAGAAAUGUAUAUUUUGUGCUACUGUUACCACCGUUUAAAAUUAUUUUUUUUAAUAUUUAUGCACUUGUUUCCCAUUUCAGGCCUAUGGUCGUCUUUGGGAAACAGGACAAUGUUUAUUACCAAUACGUAGCCUAGACAUUUUCAAAUUAUACACAACUAAGGACAGUUAAGCUUGAGGUCUAUGUAUAAGCUACUCUGGUCGGUUCUUGCCGUGCAGUGAGAGACUGGAGCUGCGGCGUCGUGGGGACCCCUCCCCCAGUACGUGCGCUGAGGCCCGCCCCCCCCAGAAUCUCGUGAGUGGAACUUUUAGGACCCCCAGGGGACUGCUUGUUGGGCCCUCCGAGGAAGCCUUCCCUGCCCCGCGGGCACCCCGGGGUGGCGCCGUCCUGCCUCUUGGCUCUCAUGGUCGCAGUCCAGCCUCUGCUUUUGUGUGACUGGGGUCGCAGGAGACCUCGGCUCAGUGUGGAUGCUUCAUGGGGAGUAAUUUAUGGAAGCCUCCAUCUAGGUUUGUUCUGAGUAUUUAGAUGAGAAUGUUACUGGAAUGGAACUUUAACCCAGAAGGUAGUAUUUAUAAUGCAUAAUCUAUAAUGCAUAAUCAUUUACUCGUAGUGAAUUGUUUCAAGUUAACACUUGUUUAAAUUUUUUUUACACUACAGCAUUUAUGCAAUGGUUUACAGGAUUCAUGGAAUUAUUUUUAUCAGUACAGGAAUUAAAACUUUGCAUCUUUA